UGGGGUAUAGCUCAGUGGUAGAGCAUUUGACUGUAGAUCUCGUGGUCCCUGGUCCAAAUCUGGGUGCCCCCU
rnacentral:tRNA from 1 species